AUGUUCGCUUAGGCAGCACAUACACUAAAAUUGGAAUGAUACAGAGAAGAUUAGCAUAGCCCUUGUGCAAGGAUGACACACAAAUUCGUGAAGCAUUCCAUAUUUUU
rnacentral:snRNA from 1 species